CCAGGUAAACUCUAUACGGUGAAACGUCAUGUAAAUCGGUGUUUGAGGGCUGCACGCCCAAGCCGAAGGGUAGGCGGUUAGAGCAUUGGGGUAACC
rnacentral:ribozyme from 1 species